UUUCUGAGCUGCCCCCGAACCACGCGGUUGAUUUGCAGGCAUCCGCCAAGGCCUCCCCAAGGUAGCGCCACACCCAGGACAGGGCCCCGGGCCCUCCGCAGCGCUGGCGCCGUGCUGAUGACGUAGAGGGUCAGGCGCCCGACGGGGCGGGGCUAUUGGACCUCAACCCCGGACUCGAGUGACUACGGGAGCGUUCACACCUCCUCUUUUCUUCCCGCGCCGCGGACAGGAUUUAGGGCGCCAGAAACACCCUGCAGAGGGAGCCAGGGAUAUUGACUCGUGAUGGCGGAGAGGAAACCGUGGCCCUGGCCGAGUCCUUCAGUAACAAAAGUUACCUGUAAUAAUAGUAAUAGUAGUCAUAUAUACGGAGCGUUAACUUUGCUCUUUUCUUCCAUUAGUUCCUUUCUUUAUGAAGUAGGCUUUUGAGGCUGGUAGGUAUGUUCUUAUCCCGUAUUAACAGAUGAGGUAACUGAGACUCUCAGAGAACUGAGCUUACUUGCGCACAGUUGACAAGUGGUCAAGUUAGAAUUGGAACCCAAGUUUGUUCUCCUUACACGACACCAGCAACCUAUCAGAAGACCCUGCAGGAGCUUUUGGUUAAUCAAGUCUUGAGAGUUCCUCGUUCAUUCAUUUAUUUACUGAGCACCGCUAUGUACCAGGCCCAGUUGACCCUAGGGAAACAGUAGAAACAAGACACGGUGCCUGCUCAUGGAUCUUCCUUUCUGAAAACAGAAGCAGAAAAUAAACAGGGAGAAAUUCAGAGUUUGUGGAUGCUAAGAAGAAAGUAAACAGGAUGCUGAGUGAAUCCCAUUUCACCUUGAAGCAGCAUGAACUGGAAUACCCCAUUACUGGCGACUGGUCAGAAAAUCCUCGUCUCCUCAGUGAGGCACACUUAUUUCAGUUCAGAAGAGUAUAAAGUGAAAUGAAGUCCCUCUGCUACCCAUACCAUGGCCCUCCGCCCCUUCCCAGAGGAAACGGAUUAACAGCAACACGCUCCCCCCUUUGGCACAGCCGGAACAAAGAAGAGGAAGCCUGAGCCCGUACCGGAGACAUUUGAGGACCAUGUCCAAAUCCACCAGGUA